GACGAACGCUGGCGGCGUGCCUAAUACAUGCAAGUUGAGCGAUGAAGAUUGGUGCUUGCACCAAUUUGAAGAGCAGCGAACGGGUGAGUAACGCGUGGGGAAUCUGCCUUUGAGCGGGGGACAACAUUUGGAAACGAAUGCUAAUACCGCAUAACAACUUUAAACAUAAGUUUUAAGUUUGAAAGAUGCAAUUGCAUCACUCAAAGAUGAUCCCGCGUUGUAUUAGCUAGUUGGUGAGGUAAAGGCUCACCAAGGCGAUGAUACAUAGCCGACCUGAGAGGGUGAUCGGCCACAUUGGGACUGAGACACGGCCCAAACUCCUACGGGAGGCAGCAGUUGGGAAUCUUCGGCAAUGGACGAAAGUCUGACCGAGCAACGCCGCGUGAGUGAAGAAGGUUUUCGGAUCGUAAAACUCUGUUGGUAGAGAAGAACGUUGGUGAGAGUGGAAAGCUCAUCAAGUGACGGUAACUACCCAGAAAGGGACGGCUAACUACGUG
rnacentral:rRNA from 1 species